CCUACGGGAGGCAGCAGUGAGGAAUAUUGGUCAAUGGGCGAGAGCCUGAACCAGCCAAGCCGCGUGAGGGAGGAAGGUACAACGUAUCGUAAACCUCUUUUGUCAGGGAACAAAGGCGGGAACUAUUCCCCGGAUGGAGGUACCUGAAGAAAAACAAUCGGCUAACUCCGUGCCAGCAGCCGCGGUAAUCCGGAGGAUGCGAGCGUUAUCCGGAUUUAUUGGGUUUAAAGGGUGCGCAGGCGGCUUGUUAAGUCAGCGGUAAAAGCCGGGGGCUCAACCCCGGCGAGCCGUUGAAACUGGGGGGCUGGAGUUGGAGAGAGGUAUGCGGAAUGCGUGGUGUAGCGGUGAAAUGCUUAGAUAUCGCGCAGAACCCCGAUUGCGAAGGCAGCGUACCGGUGCAAAACUGACGCUGAGGCACGAAAGCGUGGGUAUCGAACAGGAUUAGAUACCCGAGUAGUC
rnacentral:rRNA from 1 species